AUUAGGCAGGCGUGAUGGUGCACACCUUAUGGUUACAGCUGCUCAGGAGGCUCGGGUGGAAGGAUCGCAAUACCUCAUCUCAAAAAUAGAUAGAUAGACGCCAUCUUGUAGGUAGGUAGGUAGACAGGUGAGAAUGGAGAGAGGGGUGGUUGGGGGCAGCCUGGAGGGAGUUGAGGGGCCGUCUGGGGGUGUCCUCUCCUCACACAUCACAUCCCUCUACAGCCAGGACAACAUGUGGCGCUGUCCCCGCCAAGUGUCCACCGUGGUGUGUGUGCACGAACCCCGCUGCCAGCCGCCUGACUGCCACGGCCACGGGACCUGCGUGGACGGGCACUGCCAAUGCACCGGGCACUUCUGGCGGGGUCCCGGCUGUGAUGAGCUGGACUGUGGCCCCUCUAACUGCAGCCAGCACGGACUGUGCACGGAGACCGGCUGCCGCUGUGAUGCCGGAUGGACCGGGUCCAACUGCAGUGAAGAGUGUCCCCUUGGCUGGCAUGGGCCGGGCUGCCAGAGGCCUUGUAAGUGUGAGCACCAUUGUCCCUGCGACCCCAAGACUGGCAACUGCAGCGUCUCCGGAG
rnacentral:sRNA from 1 species